CAGCACACAACCUCCUCCACGUCAUUUCACUUGUGGUCUUCAGCCCAUGCUUCGUGGGUUUUUAUGAGCAGCAAUAAAGCAGCCACGAAAGAAAGUCCACUUGCUGUCUACACCUGCAUGAUCCCACUCUGUACCCAGCCAGACUUCACGGAGGAACCAAGCCGAUGUCCUAAGGAAUCCACUGCAGGCAACAUACUCAUGCAUCCCCUCUGCGCCUAGGCUGCUCCUGGUGAUGUCCCUUCCUUGGACAUGAAGGAUGAGCUGCAAGGAAGCUGCUCAAGAUCACACAGCUCGGGAAAAGGAAAAAGUAGAG
rnacentral:lncRNA from 10 species